rnacentral:rRNA from 1 species
ACGAACGCUGGCGGCGUGCUUCACACAUGCAAGUCGAACGGAAAGGCCCUGCUUUUGUGGGGUGCUCGAGUGGCGAACGGGUGAGUAACACGUGAGUAACCUGCCCUUGACUUUGGGAUAACUUCAGGAAACUGGGGCUAAUACCGGAUAGGAGCUCCUGCUGCAUGGUGGGGGUUGGAAAGUUUCGGCGGUUGGGGAUGGACUCGCGGCUUAUCAGCUUGUUGGUGGGGUAGUGGCUUACCAAGGCUUUGACGGGUAGCCGGCCUGAGAGGGUGACCGGCCACAUUGGGACUGAGAUACGGCCCAGACUCCUACGGGAGGCAGCAGUGGGGAAUAUUGCACAAUGGGCGGAAGCCUGAUGCAGCAACGCCGCGUGCGGGAUGACGGCCUUCGGGUUGUAAACCGCUUUCGCCUGUGACGAAGCGUGAGUGACGGUCAUGGGUAAAGAAGCACCGGCUAACUACGUG